rnacentral:misc_RNA from 1 species
AAGGAUCAUUACCAAUCCAAACUAAAAACCACUGUGAACUGGCUGAAGUACUUGGGCAAGGUUAUUGGGAGAGCCAUUUUUCUCGAAAGAGAAGACAUAGCUCUUUUCACCCUUGCCCAACAAUUUUACAACCACAAUUAAAUUUGCAAUGUGAAACUGCUGACUUGUUGCUCUUGCAACUUGUCUGCUACAAUGAAAACCAAAAGAUUACAACUUUUAGCGGUGGAUCUCUUGGCUCAU